GAUUACCUGCCCUGUAGGUGAUAUGUGAAAAAAUUGAUCCUGCAAAUUAGAUCUUUAGGGAGUCUGUGUAAGACAUUGGUGUGCAUGUUGCCUAUACGGCAAAAGCCUGAAGAUGCCUUCAGGACACCCACCUAUAUAAUAGGCGGAUCUGAUUCUUCACAUACACGACAGGGCGGGGACAAU
rnacentral:other from 1 species